rnacentral:ncRNA from 1 species
ACAAAAGCGUUGAUGGAGAAAAGUAGGUUUUUAGAAUUGUUGCAAAAGAGACUCUCUUGAGCUAGGGUGAAAAAGAGAGAACAAAUCUGAAACUGAAAAGACUCCGGAGCUGCUGGAAGAAAGCCCGCUAUGGCGGGGGAGUAGAACUGGCCGGGGGCGCCCGUUGACAGCGCUAAAAACCAUAACCUCAUUUUUUGAGAGUGGUUGACAAGGUUUGGCUGGCAACAGUCAGACAAGAAAGAGGUGGUACCACGGUCUUGUAAAACCGUCCUCUUC